rnacentral:rRNA from 1 species
UACGUAGGGCGCAAGCGUUGUCCGGAAUUAUUGGGCGUAAAGAGCUCGUAGGCGGUUUGUCGCGUCUGCUGUGAAAACUCGAGGCUCAACCUCGGGCUUGCAGUGGGUACGGGCAGACUUGAGUUCGGUAGGGGAGACUGGAAUUCCUGGUGUAGCGGUGAAAUGCGCAGAUAUCAGGAGGAACACCGGUGGCGAAGGCGGGUCUCUGGGCAGUAACUGACGCUGAGGAGCGAAAGCGUGGGGAGCGAACAGG